AGUGGGGUGGCAUAGUGGUUUGAAUGUCGGACUACGACUCUGGAGACCAGGGUUCAAUUCUCCGCUUGGCUA